rnacentral:misc_RNA from 1 species
AGUGCCUUUGCACUCCUUGGAGACCUUGCCAAAGCAUGUGCUGUUCAUUUGCGGCCUCGAUUGCAUGAAUUUCUUGAUGUUGCAGCUAAACAACUGAACACCCCCAAGCUCAAGGAAACUAUGUCAGUAGCAAAUAAUGCUUGUUGGGCUAUCGGAGAAUUAGCGGUUAAGGUUCAUCAAGAAAUUUCUCCUAUUGUUAUGACCAUUAUAUCGUGCUUAGUUCCAAUACUUCAACAUUCAGAGGAGCUGAACAAGUCCCUCAUUGAAAAUAGCGCAAUCACACUUGGGAGGCUUGCAUGGGUUUGUCCUGAGCUUGUAUCACCACACAUGGAGCAUUUCAU